AAUUUAAUACAGCAACUGCGACCAACUACUUACUGCCCUCUAGAUCAUUCUAGAGAAAGUAAACAAAUCCAGUCUAUCUAAAAACUCAAUCUUCAAAGCCUAGGAACACAGUUCAAAUGCUAUCAAUUAAGAAGUAAAAUGAACGUUCCAAGAGAAAAAAAUAAGUUGCUUAUACAAUAAAGUGAAAGACAUUCAGAUCUGAGGUAAGUAAAACAGAAAUCUGUAUGCAGAUAGCUCCAGAACCUGGUUCAACAGGAUUAAUGCUUAGAAAGUCAUCAUUUAAGUUUUAUUCCAGAAGUAAAAUCAAAGGUACUUAAUUCAUGGUAACUUUAGUCCUGUACAAAUCAUCUAAGUUAUGGCUUACAGCAGAAUAUGCAUAUGUUAGAUAGGUGAGCAAUGCUAUUGCUAGGUUCAUUAUCUGUCUCAAUUCUCUACUCUUCAAAAUCUUCCAACUCCCCCAACCACUAAAACUAAACCAACAAUGAACGUGUCUUGAUUGCUCCACAAUAACCAUAGUUGUGUUUUGGAAUGGUUUGAUCUAACCGUUAUAACUGUGAAAGGAUAUUGACUUACAGCAAUCUAUUAGGAUAAAAUUGGUCAAUGAACUGGCACGCCCUUAAUCUCAAAUAAAGACCAAUAGUUGGAGUGAACCCUACUGUCUUACUAAAAAAAAUAUACACUACAACAACAAAAACCAUAGAAGAUUUUCUUUAUAUACCACAAACACACGCAUACAAACGUAUUUAAUAUAUAGCAACAAGGUUGGAACACUGUACUUUUUUGCCAAAAUAUAUACAAACAUUCACACCGUACUUUUGCCCUCCAUUUUCUCGGGAACCAAACAUGGUUGGAACUUAUUUUCCAAUUUUAGACUAGAAAGUACAACAACAAAUUGGACUUGAAACUAGCCACAAAGUUUUAAACCAAAUAAAGCAAUACAGAAGAAAAAAUUAACAUCACAAUCAACUCUACAGCUUACAAUAAACUAAAACAGUAAGUAAUUAUUUAUCAACACCUACAUUAGCAAAUAGCACUGAAACGGCACAAACACGUAAUAAUGAGCAAAAAGGUCAUUUCUUGUACAGCAGAGCCACUACAAAGCGCUCAUCAAGCAUUUCAGAAAAAGAUCUCAAGCUCUUACCACAAAUUUACAUGCUAUUAGCCUGUUUGGUUCGUGAGAAAAUGUAGGGGAAACUUCAGUGAGAAAAAAUUCAAAUAAAUCUUCAACGAAAUCAUCCUCAGGUCGCUGCAAUGCAAUUAUUUAGCUUGGUUGCUGAGUUCCUCUAUACCUUAGAAACAAAAAUCAGCUAAAAAAUCUUUUCUCCUUAGAAUUUCUCAGCUACCAAACAACGGAGUACCAAAGAAAAACUACUUAGUUUAGAAGCGCUGAGUUUCUCGUACUUUGUAUGCACAGAACAAUUCCUACAUUUUCUUUUUCCACUUCCUAUUUUUCUUUUUCACAAAUUUUCAAACUAAUUC
rnacentral:lncRNA from 1 species